UUUUUUGCUUUGGCUAGCGCAGCGUGCUCUGUCGUGGAGCUUCAUUGUGCCGCAGUUUCAUCGACCAGUUGUAGUCGUUCAGUAAAUGUGACCGCGUCCAAAAGUGUCUCCAAAAUAACGCUCCGCAUUAAUGUAACAAAUGUUUCAAUGUGUUUUCUGCUAUAAUCCACAUAUGUUUUGAAAUUUUACAUAAUAAAGUAAAUCGAAUAUUUUCAAAAACGUUUUCAACGCAUUUGUGGCAGUUCACGCGUAGCGCAGAAAAGAGUUCACGCAGCAAAAGCGUUGCCAUCGUGUUGCAAAAAAAAGCCUAAGCAAUUCAAAAACUUUAUUAACCUAACAACAAAAACAUCAACAGAAACUUUUACAAAAUAAACUCAAUAAAAAGUUAAAGUGAGAUUGCAAAAUAAAUGUAAGUGACAAAGACCGCAGCAAAUACUCGUAAUUGUGAAAAUUUAAACGAAGAGUCAGUCAGCAGUAGAAAAGAAAUCACAAACAGAAUUAACAUUGACCAAGUUAAGGUGUCAGCGAGCAGUAAAAGCGCAAUUACAAGGAAAAAUAUAAUCAAGUCGGAAGUAAAAGCCAACAGCAGCCGACAGCGAGCCGCAAGGCAGAUAAAAAGUGCAAACCAACCAAAAGAGAAAAACUAGCAAAACAGCGACAAGCUAGUUAGCGAGCGAAAGCCACGAAAGCAACAACAAAAAACAACAACAACAACAAAUAAAAACCACAAAAAAGAAAGAAAGAAUUUUCUGGCGCCCACGAGAGAGUACAGCAAAAGUGCCAGCAGCCAAUAACUGAAUACACUAACAACAACAAUAACAGCAAGUACUGAAAGCACUCAAACGGUUCGUUGAUUUGCCGACCAAAUCGAAUUCUUCGCUGCUUGCCACAGGCGCGCAAUUGACGCUACAACACCCGCGCGACGCACAACAGCCAGUCCAACAAUCUAAGAGUCAAUCAGUCCAACAGUCAGGCGAUCAGUCUAAGAGUCAAUCAGUCUAUCAGCGAGCCUAUCAGUCAGCGCGCCAACAGAAACAUCGCCGUUGCGCCACCAGCCAAGCCAACGCUUACCAAAGCACUGCGCCGCCAAAGCAAAUAAACAAACAAACCAACGGUGUUGCACUUAAUUAACUUUCGUGUUGUUGUACAUACUAUAGGCGCGCUCGCGUGUGUGUGUAAUUUUCGUGUUGAACAAGAAAAAAUUCCAAACAAAACGCGUAUCUACAAACAUACAUAUACAAUUAUACAGUUAUAGUGUUGAAAAGCGCCCCCACCACCACGUUACCGUUACAAACUUAGCCAUUAGCGAAUUUUCGGCAUACCAGUUAUAUACGAAACCAACAACAAACAAAAAACGAAAAAAAGUUUGUGCUUUGAAGCGUUUGCAGUUGCAACAGCGCUUAUUGACAACAACAACAACAAAUAACUAUAACAUAGCAACAGUUUGUUUGCAAUAACACCAACAACAUCAACGUGUGCUGUAGCCAACGAAAACGCACCUAUGAUACCGGGAACUUGGUUUGCCACCCACUAUGCACAGGUAAAUGGGCUAUAAAGAUAUGUUACAAAUACAAAUGAACUGAUUUUUGUGUCUGAGAGCAAUAAGGAAACAUUGUAUGUGAAUUUACACCAAUACACACAUACAUACUUGUAUAGCCACUCACGGGCAACGUCACGUUUGCAUAUUUGAAGGUAAAUAUUUAUUUAUUGUAUUUUGAAGCGAAUAUUUUGUUCAGAGUGCCAAAUUGGGCGGUCUAACUGUCGAGGCGGGAAAUUUAAUAUUCAUAUAUACAAAUGUAUGUAUAUAAUACACUAUAGUAUAUAUUUACAUAUGAACACAUGAAUAAAUAACUGAAAAAAUAUCUGAAA
rnacentral:lncRNA from 1 species